GCAGCGAUUGUUCAUUGCCUUACAUAUAUCCUUCCCUGAUAAAAAGGAUCAUGUAGUCCAUCAGAAGCACAUUUUUCCGAUGCGUAAACAAGUUUUCAGGAAACUUAGGGCAUGUUCAUCGGAGGGACCGAUAUAGGUCCCAAAUUUUUUUUUUUUUCUUUUUUUUUUCUUUUUACAGAAUUAAAAUAAAAAAUAAAAAAAAUAACCAAUCGCGGGCCGUCACGUGUCAGUGGGGCCCGCGAAUGGAAGAGGGACAGUCCCGUUUAAAGGAACGACCCACACAAAAUUUUUUUUUUUUUUUUUUUCUUUCUUAAAAAACUGGGGGACUGGCCAUGGGACCUGCCAAUGCCCAUGGCCUUAGAGUUAAGGAAUCUCUGUCUAAACCAUGUAGCUCAUCACAUUCUAUGUUUUUCCUCUACACAUAACAACCCUUUCGAGGAUUUCAAAUUCUAUGUUGAUAAGGAGUUUCUUUCAAUGAGGGAAGAGUAUGAAAACAUGUUCA
rnacentral:lncRNA from 1 species